GGCUAAUACUUUGGCAAUGUACGGGAUCAAAGGCAGGUUUAGAAACAGCAGCACCAAGUUCCCGAUAUACAUAGAGACAAUGACGGCCCAGAACACCUCAGGCUCGUCAAUCAUAAGACGUGGCCC
rnacentral:ncRNA from 1 species